AACCUGCCCCUGACUCUGGGAUAAGCGCUGGAAACGGCGUCUAAUACUGGAUACGAACCACGAAGGCAUCUUCAGUGGUUGGAAAGAAUUUCGGUUGGGGAUGGGCUCGCGGCCUAUCAGCUUGUUGGUGAGGUAAUGGCUCACCAAGGCGUCGACGGGUAGCCGGCCUGAGAGGGUGACCGGCCACACUGGGACUGAGACACGGCCCAGACUCCUACGGGAGGCAGCAGUGGGGAAUAUUGCACAAUGGGCGCAAGCCUGAUGCAGCAACGCCGCGUGAGGGAUGACGGCCUUCGGGUUGUAAACCUCUUUUAGCAGGGAAGAAGCGAAAGUGACGGUACCUGCAGAAAAAGCGCCGGCUAACUACGUGCCAGCAGCCGCGGUAAUACGUAGGGCGCAAGCGUUAUCCGGAAUUAUUGGGCGUAAAGAGCUCGUAGGCGGUUUGUCGCGUCUGCUGUGAAAUCCGGAGGCUCAACCUCCGGCCUGCAGUGGGUACGGGCAGACUAGAGUGCGGUAGGGGAGAUUGGAAUUCCUGGUGUAGCGGUGGAAUGCGCAGAUAUCAGGAGGAACACCGAUGGCGA
rnacentral:rRNA from 1 species